UGUAGCAUUAAAUCCCUUCCUUGAUUACUCUC
rnacentral:piRNA from 1 species